rnacentral:rRNA from 1 species
AUUGAACGCUGGCGGCAUGCCUUACACAUGCAAGUCGAACGGUAACGGGCCUUCGGGUGCCGACGAGUGGCGCACGGGUGAGUAAUACAUCGGAACGUGCCCGAUCGUGGGGGAUAACGAGGCGAAAGCUUUGCUAAUACCGCAUACGAUCUACGGAUGAAAGCCGGGGACCUCAAGGCCUUGCGCGGACGGAGCGGCCGAUGGCAGAUCAGGUAGUUGGUGGGAUAAAAGCUUACCAAGCCGACGAUCUGUAGCUGGUCUGAGAGGAUGAUCAGCCACACUGGGACUGAGACACGGCCCAGACUCCUACGGGAGGCAGCAGUGGGGAAUUUUGGACAAUGGGCGCAAGCCUGAUCCAGCCAUGCCGCGUGCAGGAUGAAGGCCUUCGGGUUGUAAACUGCUUUUGUACGGAACGAAAAGCCUUCUUUUAAUACAGGAGGGUCAUGACGGUACCGUAAGAAUAAGCACCGGCUAACUACGUG